rnacentral:rRNA from 1 species
CAAACUGGAGAUGGCGACCGGCGCACGGGUGAGUAACACGUAUCCAACCUGCCGAUAACUCGGGGAUAGCCUUUCGAAAGAAAGAUUAAUACCCGAUGGCAUAAUUAGACCGCAUGGUCUUAUUAUUAAAGAAUUUCGGUUAUCGAUGGGGAUGCGUUCCAUUAGGUUGUUGGCGGGGUAACGGCCCACCAAGCCUUCGAUGGAUAGGGGUUCUGAGAGGAAGGUCCCCCACAUUGGAACUGAGACACGGUCCAA